rnacentral:rRNA from 1 species
UACGAAGGGGGCUAGCGUUGUUCGGAUUCAUUGGGCGUAAAGGGUGCGUAGGCGGCGCGGUAAGUCGGGUGUGAAAUCUCGGAGCUCAACUCCGAAAUUGCACUGGAUACUGCUCUGCUAGAGGGCUGGAGAGGAGAUCGGAAUUCACGGUGUAGCAGUGAAAUGCGUAGAUAUCGUGAGGAAGACCAGUGGCGAAGGCGGAUCUCUGGACAGCUCCUGACGCUGAGGCGCGAAGGCUAGGAGAGCAAACGGG